ACGGAAGGCAGCAGCUAAGAAUAUUCCGCAAUGGACGAAAGUCUGACGGAGCGACGCCGCGUGGAUGAUGAAGGUCGGAAGAUUGUAAAAUCCUUUUAUAACUGAGGAAUAAGUACUUUGAGAGAAACGGAGUAUGGUGACUGUAGGUUAUGAAUAAGCAACGGCUAAUUACGUGCCAGCAGCCGCGGUAACACGUAAGUUGCGAGCGUUGUUCGGAAUUAUUGGGCGUAAAGGGCAUGUAGGCGGUCUGUCAAGCCAGGCGUGAAAGCCAGGGGCUCAACCCCUGAACUGCGCUUGGAACUGGCGGACUGGAGUCGCUGAGGGGGAACCGGAAUUCCUGGUGUAGGGGUGAAAUCUGUAGAUAUCAGGAAGAACACCGAUGGCGAAGGCAGGUUUCCAGCAGACGACUGACGCUGAGGUGCGAAGGUGCGGGGAGCAAACAGGAUUAGAUACCCUGGUA
rnacentral:rRNA from 1 species